UUAAGCGACUAAGCGUACACGGUGGAUGCCCUGGCAGUCAGAGGCGAUGAAGGACGUGCUAAUCUGCGAAAAGCGUCGGUAAGGUGAUAUGAACCGUUAUAACCGGCGAUGUCCGAAUGGGGAAACCCAGUGCAAUUCGUUGCACUAUCGUUAACUGAAUACAUAGGUUAACGAGGCGAACCGGGGGAACUGAAACAUCUAAGUACCCCGAGGAAAAGAAAUCAACCGAGAUUCCCCCAGUAGCGGCGAGCGAACGGGGAGCAGCCCGGAGUCUGAAUCAGCUUGUGUGUUAGUGGAAGCGUCUGGAAAGUCGCAGGGUACAGGGUGAUACUCCCGUACACUAAAACACACAGGCUGUGAACUCGAAGAGUAGGGCGGGACACGUGGUAUCCUGUCUGAAUAUGGGGGGACCAUCCUCCAAGGCUAAAUACUCCUGACUGACCGAUAGUGAACCAGUACCGUGAGGGAAAGGCGAAAAGAACCCCGGCGAGGGGAGUGAAAAAGAACCUGAAACCGUGUACGUACAAGCAGUAGGAGCCCACUAGUUGGGUGACUGCGUACCUUUUGUAUAAUGGGUCAGCGACUUAUAUUCUGUAGCAAGGUUAACCGUAUAGGGGAGCCGCAGGGAAACCGAGUCUUAACUGGGCGUUAAGUUGCAGGGUAUAGACCCGAAACCCGGUGAUCUAGCCAUGGGCAGGUUGAAGGUUGGGUAACACUAACUGGAGGACCGAACCGACUAAUGUUGAAAAAUUAGCGGAUGACUUGUGGCUGGGGGUGAAAGGCCAAUCAAACCGGGAGAUAGCUGGUUCUCCCCGAAAGCUAUUUAGGUAGCGCCUCGUGAAUUCAUCUUCGGGGGUAGAGCACUGUUUCGGCUAGGGGGUCAUCCCGACUUACCAACCCGAUGCAAACUACGAAUACCGAAGAAUGUUAUCACGGGAGACACACGGCGGGUGCUAACGUCCGUCGUGAAGAGGGAAACAACCCAGACCGCCAGCUAAGGUCCCAAAGUCAUGGUUAAGUGGGAAACGAUGUGGGAAGGCCCAGACAGCCAGGAUGUUGGCUUAGAAGCAGCCAUCAUUUAAAGAAAGCGUAAUAGCUCACUGGUCGAGUCGGCCUGCGCGGAAGAUGUAACGGGGCUAAACCAUGCACCGAAGCUGCGGCAGCGACACUAUGUGUUGUUGGGUAGGGGAGCGUUCUGUAAGCCGUUGAAGGUGGCCUGUGAGGGUUGCUGGAGGUAUCAGAAGUGCGAAUGCUGACAUAAGUAACGAUAAUGCGGGUGAAAACCCCGCACGCCGGAAGACCAAGGGUUCCUGUCCAACGUUAAUCGGGGCAGGGUGAGUCGACCCCUAAGGCGAGGCCGAAAGGCGUAGUCGAUGGGAAACAGGUUAAUAUUCCUGUACUUGGUGUUACUGCGAAGGGGGGACGGAGAAGGCUAUGUUGGCCGGGCGACGGUUGUCCCGGUUUAAGCAUGUAGGCGGAUGUUCCAGGUAAAUCCGGAACGUUAUUAACGCUGAGGUGUGAUGACGAGGCACUACGGUGCUGAAGUGACAAAUGCCCUGCUUCCAGGAAAAGCCUCUAAGCAUCAGGUAACAUCAAAUCGUACCCCAAACCGACACAGGUGGUCAGGUAGAGAAUACCAAGGCGCUUGAGAGAACUCGGGUGAAGGAACUAGGCAAAAUGGUGCCGUAACUUCGGGAGAAGGCACGCUGAUGGUAGGUGAAGUGACUUGCUCACGGAGCUGAAAUCAGUCGAAGAUACCAGCUGGCUGCAACUGUUUAUUAAAAACACAGCACUGUGCAAACACGAAAGUGGACGUAUACGGUGUGACGCCUGCCCGGUGCCGGAAGGUUAAUUGAUGGGGUUAUCCUCACGGAGAAGCUCUUGAUCGAAGCCCCGGUAAACGGCGGCCGUAACUAUAACGGUCCUAAGGUAGCGAAAUUCCUUGUCGGGUAAGUUCCGACCUGCACGAAUGGCGUAAUGAUGGCCAGGCUGUCUCCACCCGAGACUCAGUGAAAUUGAACUCGCUGUGAAGAUGCAGUGUACCCGCGGCAAGACGGAAAGACCCCGUGAACCUUUACUAUAGCUUGACACUGAACACUGGUCCUUGAUGUGUAGGAUAGGUGGGAGGCUUUGAAGUGUGGACGCCAGUCUGCAUGGAGCCGUCCUUGAAAUACCACCCUUUAAUGGCUGGUGUUCUAACGUGGGCCCGUGAUCCGGGUUGCGGACAGUGUCUGGUGGGUAGUUUGACUGGGGCGGUCUCCUCCUAAAGAGUAACGGAGGAGCACGAAGGUCAGCUAAUCCUGGUCGGACAUCAGGAGGUUAGUGCAAUGGCAUAAGCUGGCUUGACUGCGAGCGUGACGGCGCGAGCAGGUGCGAAAGCAGGUCAUAGUGAUCCGGUGGUUCUGAAUGGAAGGGCCAUCGCUCAACGGAUAAAAGGUACUCCGGGGAUAACAGGCUGAUACCGCCCAAGAGUUCAUAUCGACGGCGGUGUUUGGCACCUCGAUGUCGGCUCAUCACAUCCUGGGGCUGAAGUAGGUCCCAAGGGUAUGGCUGUUCGCCAUUUAAAGUGGUACGCGAGCUGGGUUUAGAACGUCGUGAGACAGUUCGGUCCCUAUCUGCCGUGGGCGCUGGAGAAUUGAGGGGGGCUGCUCCUAGUACGAGAGGACCGGAGUGGACGCAUCACUGGUGUUCGGGUUGUCAUGCCAAUGGCAUUGCCCGGUAGCUAAAUGCGGAAGAGAUAAGUGCUGAAAGCAUCUAAGCACGAAACUUGCCCCGAGAUGAGUUCUCCCUGACUCUUUGAGGGUCCUGAAGGAACGUUGAAGACGACGACGUUGAUAGGCCGGGUGUGUAAGCGCAGCGAUGCGUUGAGCUAACCGGUACUAAUGAACCGUGAGGCUUAACCUU
rnacentral:rRNA from 1 species